AACGAACGCUGGCGGCAUGCCUAACACAUGCAAGUCGAACGAGACCUUCGGGUCUAGUGGCGCACGGGUGCGUAACGCGUGGGAACCUGCCCUUAGGUUCGGAAUAACUCCCCGAAAGGGGUGCUAAUACCGGAUAAUGUCUUCGGACCAAAGAUUUAUCGCCUUUGGAUGGGCCCGCGUUGGAUUAGCUAGUUGGUAGGGUAAAAGCCUACCAAGGCGACGAUCCAUAGCUGGUCUGAGAGGAUGAUCAGCCACACUGGGACUGAGACACGGCCCAGACUCCUACGGGAGGCAGCAGUGGGGAAUAUUGGACAAUGGGCGAAAGCCUGAUCCAGCAAUGCCGCGUGAGUGAUGAAGGCCUUAGGGUUGUAAAGCUCUUUUACCCGGGAUGAUAAUGACAGUACCGGGAGAAUAAGCGCCGGCUAACUCCGAG
rnacentral:rRNA from 1 species